GGCACGCCUAACACAUGCAAGUCGAACGCAGUAGCAAUACUGAGUGGCAAACGGGUGAGUAUAAUGUGGGAAUCUGCCUUUUGGUUUGGAAUAACACGGGGAAACUUGUGCUAAUACCAAAUAAGCCUUUACAGGGAAAGUUUUAACGCCGAAAGAUGAGCCCGCACUUGAUUAGCUAGUUGGUAAGGUAAAAGCUUACCAAGGCAACGAUCAAUAGCUGUUCUUAGAGGAAGACCAGCCACAUUGGGACUGAGACACGGCCCAGACUCCUACGGGAGGCAGCAGUGGGGAAUCUUGCACAAUGGGGGAAACCCUGAUGCAGCGAUGCCGCGUGAGUGAAGAAGGCCUUUGGGUUGUAAAACUCUUUCGUCGGGGAAGAAAAUGACUGUACCCGAAUAAGAAGGUCCGGCUAACUUCGUGCCAGCAGCCGCGGUAAUACGAAGGGACCUAGCGUAGUUCGGAAUUACUGGGCUUAAAGAGCUCGUAGGUGGUUAAAAAAGUUGAUGGUGAAAUCCCAAGGCUUAACCUUGGAACUGCCAUCAAAACUUUUUAGCUAGAGUGUGAUAGAGGUAAGUGGAAUUUCUAGUGUAGAGGUGAAAUUCGUAGAUAUUAGAAAGAACACCAAAUGCGAAGGCAACUUACUGGGUCACUACUGACACUGAGGAGCGAAAGCAUGGGUAGCGAAGAGGAUUAGAUACCCUCGUAGUCCAUGCCGUAAACGAUGUGUGCUAGACGUUGGAAAUAUAUUUUUCAGUGUCGCAGCGAAAGCAUUAAGCACACCGCCUGGGGAGUACGAC
rnacentral:rRNA from 1 species